rnacentral:rRNA from 1 species
GGUAUCGCCGUUAGUCAUGUGCAAAUAUGGAUAGCUGUUUUAGCCGUCUUUAUUGACUGGUUUAUAUGAGUUAUCAGAUAUCACUUUGAUUAAAUUAGAGUGCUUAAAGCAAGUGUGUUACUUGGAUAUAAAUGCAUGGAAUGAUGGAAUAUGUUGUUAUUCUAUUUGUUGGUUUUUGAAUGAUAAAAUGAUUGAAAGGAACUGUUGGGGGCAUUCGUAUUGUUGUGAGAGAGGUGAAAUUCUUAGACCACAGCAAGACGAACUACUGCGAAAGCAUUUGCCAAGAAUGUUUUCAUUGAUCAAGAGCGAAAGGUAGAGGUUCGAAGGCGAACAGAUACCGCCCUAGUUCUAACCAUAAACUAUGCUAACUAGCAAUUUGCUUUGUAUUUUUUAUGACUAAGUGAGAGGCCACGGGAAACCUAAGUAGGGUUAUGGGGGAAGUAUGGUUGCAAAGCUGAAACUUAAAGGAAUUGACGGAAGGGCACCACCAGGAGUGGAGCCUGCGACUUAAUUUGACUCAACCCGGGAAAACUUACCUGGUCCUGACACUAGAAGGAUUGACAGAUUGAUAGCUCUUUCUUGAUUUGGUGGAUGGUGGUGCAUGGCCGUUCUUAGUUGGUGGAGUGAUUUGUCUGGUUAAUUCCGAUAACGAACGAGACUCUAGCCUAUUAAAUAAUACACGGAAUUUUAUCUUCCGCGGUAUUUCUUAGUGGGAUCAAGCG